ACAUGGUGUCUGUAUUUUUUUUUUUACGGUCUAUGAAUAUAACCAACCCAACCAAGGCAACGAGUUCUAGCCAUUCAGAGGCAGAGAAAGGCUUAGCCAUCCUAGGAAAAAAAUGGCAUACGGUGCCAAGUCCUUCAGAGUGGAGUAGUGUUCAAAACAGUGCAGGCCUAAGAAGAUCAUUAUGAUUCAUUUAUCCAGUUGUAAAUGAGGAGUCAUGGACGUCUGCUCCUUUGGGAAUCUCCAGCCCUUUGAAAAGAAAAUAGAGAUUAAAAAUCUGCUAAACGAGUUAGCAGCAACCAGGAUCCUUCUCUCACAGUUUACGCUGUUAAAGGGGUAAAUAAUGACAGAUUUUAGCAGAGGCCCCAUCAGAGAUGAUCCAGACCUCGCUGGCUGUGCUGACGCUGUUCACUCACCAGCUGUGUAACUAAUGAAGGUUCCGUGGAGCGGCCGUCACCUUCAUUUCGGCUUUCCAAUGAAGGCUAGGUGGUAUCGAGAAAUCCUCAUUAGUGGAUAAGAUAGCAUCGUCAUCUCAAGGUCACAGGAUGUUUAUGGAUCCAAGUUGCGGUCAGAUCAGCGGCUGAUCCGCCGCCCUACAAAGCAGCAAAGUGAGCAAAGAGUACUGGUUCCCUCUGUGGGUCUGAUUCGCUGGACGGGAUGUCCAUCAUGAGCCAGCACCUUACGUCAGCAUUAUAACGAUGAGGAGGCAUGGUAUUCCACAAGGAGGUAAUGGGAACUGCUGUCACUGCUAGAGGAGGCUUGUUAGCAUUUCGUAGCUUUUACUCAAUUGGCAAAAUACGAGAGAAAACAGGCCCGAGUCAAGCAUGUGGAGGUAGCUGAACAGGUAAAACGGUCUACAUGGAUGAGCUUCCAUCCAGACGAGCUCAGAUAAGCCCUUACAGAGCUCACAGGGGUUUGACAGGUUCAUCGAUGAAGGAGGAGCCACUGACUCAGGUUAUACCCUGGAUGCACUCAAAGGGAAUCUCAAAACUGCCCCUGUGCAAGGAGACGAUUUCUCAUCAGGCACUAGCAGCCAGAGCACCAAGCUCAUUCACGGAGGAGUCCGAUAUCUACAGAAAGCCAUCAUGAAAUUGGAUUACAAACAGCAUUUUGUCCAGCCGCAGAGUUCCUCUCACUCCACUGAGUUUUGUACCUCCAGGAGGCUGGAACGAGUGUGAGCCGAGCGGAGGACAACACAACGAUGCUCGAAUGAACCUCGCCAUCGCCCUCACUGCUGCCAGGUAUGGGGCUGCCAUAGCCAAUUACACUGAAGUGGUGCACCUACUGAAGAGGGCAGACCCACAGACGGGGAAGGAGAGGGUCUGCGGAGUGCACUGCAGGGAUGUGAUCACAGGGCAGGAAUUUGAUGUCAGAGCCAAAUGUGUUAUCAAUGCCACGGGACCUUUUACGAACGCGCUGCGGAAAAUGGAUGAUCAGAAGAACCCCGACAUCUGUCAGCCCAGUGCUGGGGUGCACAUCGUCAUCCUGGGCUAUUACAGGACGAUAUGUGCACCCCGGGUUGAUGCUAGGGGAGCAGCGGCUGGAAUUGAAACCAGCUGAAUUAAUCUCCUGGAAACAGCGCUGACAGGAGCCUGAUUAUGGGGUGUCCCUUCAACCAGCCCGGCCCGCUUGUGCCCUCCCCUCUCCAGCAGACCAAAGUGUUACAAGUAUCAUGCUGCUGCUGUAUAAUUGGAAGAAUGUACCACCGAGCCAGAGGAGGUUUACCACGCUGUGAAAAGUGAUGAAUCUAAGGACUGCACUGCCAAAGUCUGACAACUGACCAGCCAAAACAGACCCUGAACUGGACCUAUGACGCAAUCCAGUCUGGACUUGACCUAGAAUUGAAUCUGAACAACCCACUUAAGUAAAAUUUGACCAGAGUCUUGUCUUGAUCCUGAGCAAAGCAACGCAAAAAUUAAAGUUUUGCCCAUGUUGCACCGUGUGUUUUGGACAGCCAGUUUGAAGCACUGUGCCAUGAGACGAGCUCAGACGGAUGGAUUUCAACACUAAUCCGUUUGAUGUGGAUACGAGAUCUCAUCGAGCUGCUCUGAGGCACUUGAGGCAGCCUGAGCCGUCGGGUACAAUAAGAAACAAGACAGAGUGCAGUUGCACCCUGUGAGGAUGACAGAUUUCUGGGCUAGUUUGGGAAGAAGAGUGCUGCAGGGGAAGGCAGUGGCCAGUCUGCGAUGGGGGGCCAACCAGGAGAAAACUCAUUUGGAAUUCAGCACUGCAACAUUGCCAUCUUUUGGCCAAACAGUAUACUCAAAAAUCCCAGGGAUAAUCCAUCUCCAAACCCAUACUGAGGUCCUAAAACAGCUUGAUACAAAGUGUGUUCAGUCCUCCUGUCAUGGAGAAUGAGUAAGCAGAAUUACCAGCGGAUCAGCAUUAGAGGUAACAAAAUUUCUUUCUUUUUUUUUUACAUACUGACAGUGUAUUUUCUCUCCCAUCAGAGCUCCAGUGCCUAAUUAAAUGUAUUUAGCAUCAUAAAUAUUCCACGGGGACAGGUUGACACAAUGAAUUAAUGUCUGGUCUCAAUAGCAGAGCCUCUCUAUUGGCUGUGGAGAGAAAGUUAGCCCGA